rnacentral:rRNA from 1 species
CCUACGGGUGGCAGCAGUGGGGAAUAUUGCACAAUGGGCGCAAGCCUGAUGCAGCCAUGCCGCGUGUGUGAAGAAGGCCUUCGGGUCGUAAAGCACUUUCAGCGGGGAGGAAGGCGGUGAGGUUAAUAACCUCAUCGAUUGACGUUACCCGCAGAAGAAGCACCGGCUAACUCCGUGCCAGCAGCCGCGGUAAUACGGAGGGUGCAAGCGUUAAUCGGAAUUACUGGGCGUAAAGCGCACACAGGCGGUCUGUCAAGUCGGAUGUGAAAUCCCCGGGCUCAACCUGGGAACUGCAUUCGAAACUGGCAGGCUAGAGUCUUGUAGAGGGGGGUAGAAUUCCAGGUGUAGCGGUGAAAUGCGUAGAGAUCUGGAGGAAUACCGGUGGCGAAGGCGGCCCCCUGGACAAAGACUGACGCUCAGGUGCGAAAGCGUGGCGAGCAAACAGGAUUAGAUACCCGUGUAGUC